UUAUGGAGAGGACCGCCCUCGGGCGCCUCGUCUACAUUACGGAUGCAAUGCCUUGACUGGCUAUAGCGGUGCCGCAGCGAUGCGCCCGUGCAACCUUUUUGAAAGUCUAUACUUUAUGCCUACGAUAUACAAUAUACGAGUAUACAACUCAUAGCGUUGGAUCCCUUGGCAUGCCAUUCGAUGAAGACCGUUGCAAAAUGCGAUAAGUGGUGUGAUAUGCAAGUCCAAAACUUAUACGUGAAUCAUCGAAUUGUUGAACGCACUGCAUCGAUCCUUAUCCAGGAACGAUACGCCCUAUUGAGCGUCAUUAUGUCUUCGYGGCCUCGUCUUCAUCGACGUUGCCCGGGUUCGGGACCCACGGCCUCGYGGCCGCGUYUCCUCAGAUGCAUUUACCGCACGAGACUGUACACUUGCGUCCUUGUCAUGAGUGUCGAGGUACGAGAGUGAYGAGACUUGCGCCGGAUCGCCGUCCGCGGCGCAUCRGACCCCGCCUUCGGGCGACCCUACCGACAUGACCUCRCGGGGGUGG
rnacentral:rRNA from 1 species